GAUGAAGAACGUAGCGAAGUGCGAUAAGUAAUGUGAAUUGCAGAAUUCCGUGAAUCAUCGAAUUUUUGAACGCAAAUUGCACUCUCUUCGGAGAGUAUGCCUGUUUGAGGGUCAGUAUUAAUAAAAAUCGGCGUGUUGCUCUUUUGUGACGCUCCGGAGUUUGGGUCAUCUUAUAACGAUACCUUUCAAGGUGUUUUUAAGAGGCUUAAAAUUGACAUCUUUUUUGCGCAUUUUAGACGUACAUAAAUUUUUUUUAUUCGUUUAUCUAAUGCCAAAAUCUAUUAGAUGCGACCAUAUCGUGUGGUUCCGUGUCUAUAAAUUUUUUCAUGAUUUGACCUCAAAUCAGGUAGGAACACCCGCUGAACUUAAGCAUAUCAAUAAGCGGAGGA
rnacentral:misc_RNA from 1 species